rnacentral:rRNA from 1 species
UACGGAGGGUGCAAGCGUUGCUCGGAAUUAUUGGGCGUAAAGGGCAGGUAGGUGGUCUCAUUUGUCUGGGGUGAAAGCCUUGAGCUUAACUCAAGAAGUGCCCCAGAAACGGUGAGACUAGAGUCCUGGAGAGGGUCGUGGAAUUCCCGGUGUAGCGGUGAAAUGCGCAGAUAUCAGGAGGAACACCGAUGGCGAAGGCAGCUCGCUGGGACGGUACUGACGCUGAGGCGCGAAAGCGUGGGGAGCAAACAGG